ensembl:snRNA LOC120094861 U6 spliceosomal RNA
GUGCUCACGUCGGGGCAGCACGUAUAUUAAAAUUGGAAUACAAGACAGAGAAGAUUAUCAUGGCCCCUGUGCAAGGAUGACACGAAAAUUUGUGAAGCGUUAAAAAAAAAA